AACGAACGCUGGCGGCAUGCCUAACACAUGCAAGUCGAACGAUACCUUCGGGUCUAGUGGCGCACGGGUGCGUAACGCGUGGGAACCUGCCCUUAGGUUCGGAAUAACUCCCCGAAAGGGGUGCUAAUACCGGAUAAUGUCUUCGGACCAAAGAUGUAUCGCCUUUGGAUGGGCCCGCGUUGGAUUAGCUAGUUGGUAGGGUAAAAGCCUACCAAGGCGACGAUCCAUAGCUGGUCUGAGAGGAUGAUCAGCCACACUGGGAGUGAGACACGGCCGAGACUCCUACGGGAGGCAGCAGUGGGGAAUAUUGGACAAUGGGCGAAAGCAUGAUCCAGCAAUGCCGCGUGAGUGAUGAAGGCCUUAGGGUUGUAAAGCUCUUUUACCCGGGAUGAUAAUGACAGUACCGGGAGAAUAAGCUCCGGCUAACUCCGUG
rnacentral:rRNA from 1 species